rnacentral:misc_RNA from 1 species
GUAGGUGAACCUGCGGAAGGAUCAUUACAGAGUUCAUGCCCUUACGGGUAGAUCUCCCACCCUUGAAUAUAUACCUUUGUUGCUUUGGCGGGUCGCAUCGUCCACUGGCUUUUGCUAGUGAGUGCCCGCCAGAGAACCCUAAAUUCUGAAUUAAAGUGUCGUCUGAGUAUUAUAUAAUAGUUAAAACUUUCAACAACGGAUCUCUUGGUUCUGGCAUCGAUGAAGAACGCAGCAUCUGACUGACUGAACU